rnacentral:tRNA from 1 species
GGGCCCAUGGCGCAACGGUAGCGCGCCUCGUUUGCAUCGAGGAGGCUAGGAGUUCGAAUCUCCUUGGGUCCA